GAUGAAGAACGCAGCGAAAUGCGAUACGUAAUGUGAAUUGCAGAAUUCAGUGAAUCAUCGAGUCUUUGAACGCACAUUGCGCCCCCUGGUAUUCCGGGGGGCAUGCCUGUCCGAGCGUCAUUGCUGCCCUCAAGCCCGGCUUGUGUGUUGGGUCUCGUCCCCCUUCCCGGGGGGACGGGCCCGAAAGGCAGCGGCGGCACCGCGUCCGGUCCUCGAGCGUAAGGGGCUUUGUCACCCGCUCUGUAGGCCCGGCCGGCGCUUGCCGAUCAACCAAAACUUUUUUCCAGGUUGACCUCGGAUCAGGUAGGGAUACCCGCUGAACUUAAGCAUAUCAAUAAGCGGAGGA
rnacentral:misc_RNA from 1 species